CAAGUUUUUGAACAAAACAAAAUUACCAGCUUGUGUAUAUGGAUGUUUUAUUAAUUGUUUAUAUUUUUAAUAAUUUUUUUGAUUCUCAAAAUUAUUUAUUUCAUUAGUUUUCAGAAAUACAAAGGGUAAAAAGGAGAAAAAAAUGGACAAAACUAGUUUUAUACCAAAGGGACAACAACCUGGUUUUUUUAUUCUCUUUUGGCAAUUUUCCCUUAUAAUUACACAUCUUUUUAUAUAUUAGACAUUCUUUCGUUUAACUUCCAAUGUGAGAUUUUGGUUGAUAUCUAGCCGUAACUUUUGGAGUUAAAAUCAUGAGAGUAGAGACACAGAAGGAUAAUACACAAACAAAAACAAAAACAAAAACAAACUCUAAAGUUAAAUAAGGUUAAUUGUAAAAUGGCCCCACCCCAAAUUAAUUAACCUCUCACGUUAUAAGAACACAUAUAAUUAAACUCGACGCUCCUAAUUGGGCCCAAGGCCCGCCAAAAUUAAUCCCGAGUUAUCGAAUUAAUUUUAAAUUCCCGUUAAUUCGUUAAACUAAUUAAAACCGUUCAGACAAGAAGAGAAGAACCGUUGUACUUUUCAAGCAUUACUCAACGGCUACUCCUCUUCUCCCACCUUUCUUCCUCCUCUGAGUCAAUCCCUUUGAUCCAAUUUCUCAUCGAUCCAACUGAAAUGGAGACGAGAACCGGCCAAUCAACACCGGCGAUAACUGCGCCGGUCCCGGUUCCGGUUCCUCCGCCUUCUACGCGGCGUCCUAGAGUGAGAGAAGUGAGCUCCAGAUUCAUGUCUCCGGUUGCUUCAUCUUCCGGACAUCAUCAGCGAUCCGUUUCAACUCAGAAGCCGAGAAGGCAGUUAAAAUUACCGGAAGGCGACGAGAACCGCCCUCCGGAGACGGCCGCGCGUGGCCUAGACUCGCCGUUUCCUCUCGACGGAGGAAAAAACAACCAGCGGCGGAAUCGAUCCAAGCCGUUGAGAGAGGAGAACGGACACACUCUAACGUUGCCGCCGCCUCCGUCUAGGUCUCGAUCGAACCAGCAGCGUUUGCUUACGUCAUCAGCCGCCGCUAGGCUUCUGAGAUUAUCCGUCUCCAUGGACGGUGAAGAAGAAGAGAAACUCAACGAUGAUGAUACGUCGUCGUUUCGGGCUUCGUUGUUGGUUAAAAACGGCGUUGGCUUGUCAUUGCCGCCCGUGGCACCUAACUUGAAGUCUCAAGGAGAUAUAAAGAGACAGAAGAGAGUUUUAGGACAACAAGCGGAUGCACACUCUUUGAAACUGCUACACAACCGCUACUUGCAAUGGAGAUUCGCAAACGCAAAUGCUGACGUCAUAAAACAAGCUCAUAAAGCAGAGGCUGAGGUAUGUAUGUAUGACUCUAACAUUAACAUUCUGAACGAACUAGCAAUAGUCUCUAACUUCAAUGGUGAAUUAUAAUUUUCUUGCAGAGAAUGUUUUAUUCACUUGGUUUGAAAAUGUCAGAGCUCUCUCAUUGUGUACAUAAGAAACGCAUAGAGCUCCAAGGAUUAGUGAGAGUAAAAGCUAUUAAGAAGAUUGUGGAGCCUCAAGUAAAUCAGAUUUGAUUAUCUCAUUUAGACAAUAAAAAAAGCGAUUGAGAAAAAACGUGUAAUUAGUAGUAUUUGGUGGACUAACCUCUUUAUUACUCUAAUGCAGAUGCCUUUAUUGGAACAAUGGACAACAUUUGAAGAAGAAUACUCAGCUUCACUAUAGGAAACAUCCGAAGCUUUAUUGAAUGCUUCAUUGCGGCUCCCUCUAGAUGUCGAUAUCAAGGUUUAUACUGUUCGGAUGAACUUAGAUUUAACAUUGUUCCCUUUAUUAUAUCUUUUGCAUCAAACAAUUUUGAUUCUCAAUAUCAGGUUGAGACGAAAGAGUUAGGAGAAGUACUUGCGGUUGCUUCAAAGUCCAUGGAAGGCAUCGUGCAAAGUAUAGAACAGUUUCUCCCUAAGGUUGGCAAAAUGCUAUCAUUGUUGGCUUCACGCCAGACAUGAACAUGAAUAUAUAUGUAACAACUUCUUUGAUGCACUUUGCAGACACAAGAGAUUGAGAGUUUGUUGUCGGAACUAGCGAGAGUAAGCAGCAGAGAAAAAGUAUCAGUGGAAGACUGUGGAGUUGCACUGCUUAAGACACAUUCGUCACAUGUAUGAACCGAACCUCUAAACAUAUAAUUUGAUAUAAUCAUUUGUUUCCUUUCAGUUGUUGAAAUCUGAAAUGUCUUAAUUUUUCUGCAGGUUGAAGAUUGCUAUCUUAGAAGUCAGCUUAUACAGCAGCACCACAAGCAAUGUGUAUAAUAAAUGAAUUUGAAGCUCCCCUUGCAUAAUAAAUGUAUCACACAAAAUAGUAUAAUAAAAGGUUUUGGUAAAGUAACUGUAUUGAAGAAAGCUGAUGAAACUGACGCUGUAGCUAAUUAGAACAACGCUGAUGAUAGCAAAUGUUGUUCCAACACAACAAGGUUUUUUGUAUUUUGAAAUGUAAAAUUAUAUGUCAGAGAAAACAGAUGUGUUAUAUGUUUCUGAUUCCAGGAUACGUUUGAGAGCAUCAGAUUCAUAAGCAUGAAAACAUUUGAUCUUUGGAAAUGUAAGGCCUUAUAAUCUUUAGGCCCAUAAAAUAGUCCAUUUUAAGUGGUGACUCCAGUGGACCACUGCCCACUGGUGGUGUGUAAUAAUAAUUAGUAGGGCGUUGAAAUGUGAUAAUGAGUCAAUCCCAUACCCGUGACAUGUAGUUGAGCAUAACACUCCAAAAUUCUACUUUGGCACUUUUAAAGAAACCACGAGAUGAAGCCAACUCUUUCUUUGUCUUUUUGAAUAUUGAAUAUUGAAUAUUUCGGUUCUUUUUUUCAAUCCUUUCAAGUAAGAAAAAGGUUGUAGUCAAGAUAUUAUAUUAAUUAAACUAACUAACUGAACUUGACCUAUGUUUGUAGCUGUUUUCAUUAAGGUCGUUGGUAUGUUAUAAUUUGGAAAUGACUUAGAGACAUGAUUAUAGACCCAGUUGUUAGACUUUAUAAUUGACCCAUUGUACUUUUUUUAUGGUUAUGUCUAGCUAUAGUAAGCAAUAAAGCUAGCAGAUGUUAUGUACAAAAAAUAAAAUAAAGCAGAUGUUGUGUUACAAAAAUGUUUAAUUUGUGUCUGCAUGUACCAAUUUUUUUUUUUUUUCAUAUCACGAACGUUAUAAUAACGUGUCUGAUCUCAGCGUUCCUGAAUAUCUUGAUAUUAAAUGAUGAAAGUUUGAAUAUAGCAUCUAUUUACCACCUAUUUCCCCCUACAAAAAUUAACUGGAUUUCAUUUGGAAAAUGGAGAAAAUACUUUUCUACAGUGGAGACAGAAUCCUUGAACAAUCAACUAACAUUUUUUUAUUGGUUCUAGCUAAUAAUAACAAACGGUUUUAAUACGGCAGAGAGAUGCAAUUUGCACAUAAUUUUCAGAAAUAUAUCGUGGCAAUGAAAAUAAAAUCUUCAUAUUUCAAGACAAAAAAAAAAAAUUUGAUGAAAUUUUUAUAAAAAGAAGAAUUGUACGAAUUCACAAUCGAAAUAGAAAAAUGUGAAGAUUUGGCCAAUAAGAAAUUAAUGGCAUAGGACAUACGUAGGCUUUAAAGAAAGAAAUACAAAAUGGGAAAAUGGAGAUGUAACAGAAUGGAAAAGGAAAGGUGUGGAGUUGAUUGAGAUUUGAGACCAUGUAUUGUCGUCAUUUUUCCUUCUAAUUAUCUUAAGUUCUUAACCGACAAUUCAUGGCUUUAUUUUUUGAAUUUUACACUGUUUUUCACAUUGUGGGUGCUCUCACUCCCACCCAAUCAUAAAUAAAUACUUUUUAAAUAGUGAUGAUAAGGUAGUGGAGCAAUGCUCAAAUAGUUGACUCAGUAAUUUAAAUAUUACUAUCUACACAUGUUGUUUUGUUUUUUUAUCAAUACUGUAUGUUUAAGGUUUAAAUCAGUACUGCAAAGUGUGCAUUUAUGAUAACCGGCUUGUUUAUGAACAACACUCGACUGGACUGGCUCUAUGAUAAAUAAUGCAAAAUAUUUAUGUAAUGAGAAAUUAUAUUAAAAAAAUGUAAAUGGAUAAAUUAUAAGACAUCUAUUUUCUUAAAAUUGAAUAAUUAUGCUAUUACAAGAAAUUGAUCUGUGUUAAUCUUAAUAUGCAUCAUUAGGCAAUGAAAAACUAAAAGGAAGAUGUAAACAUUUGCAUUUGACCCUUCUCAUGAUUAACAUAUUAUGUCAUUUUUUAUCAUCAUUUUAGCUAGGUAUGAGUGAGCCUAAACCAGAAGAGAUUAAUACAUUUCUCCAGAUGAAUUUUGAAAAUCCCGAAAACAAAACGUUAAGGCGUCAGAACAGUGGGAAUGUUCCAAUCCAGCAAAAUUUCAUUUCUCUAAAAAGCUGACAGUAAAAUUAAAAAAAUUAAAAAAAUUAUACUUUUGAUAUAAAAUAAAAAUAAAACCUUCGAACUAUUCCAGAAAAAAAGAUCCUGACAAGAAAAAAUAAAAAUUUAAAACAGAUGAAAAGACAGUAACCAAUCUUACGCAAAAGAAUCCAAGUUUUUUCACUUGUGUCUGUUUUAAAAGAAAAAACGUACGGUCCUUUAAUGAAAGGUUUAGCACAAAAGAGUUAUUAACUUCCCAGAAGAACCUCUCAUCUUCUCUAUCUCUCCAAAAAGACUUUCUCUUUCUGUGUUUCUUUCUUUCUUUAACCAUGGCCGUUAAUUUCAAAAGGGUCAGCUUCUUGCUUGCUCUGGUAAUGACGGUGGCGGCUAUCCUCACUCCUUCAGUCAUCUCCGGCGAAAAUAGGUUCUCCGAUCUCCAAAUCCAUAAACACUUGAAACGACUCAACAAGCCACCUCUCAAAUCCAUAAAGGUUAAAAAAUUUCACAGAGAUUAUUAGAUAAAGUUUCAACAAAUUUCACAAUAAUUUAUGGUUUCAAACAGAGCCCAGAUGGAGAUGUGAUUGACUGUGUCCCAAUCACCGACCAACCAGCUUUAGCUCAUCCUCUGCUGAUCAACCACACUGUCCAGGUUAAGAAACUGUUCUGUUUUUCUUCUUUCAGUUCGAACAGACUCUGUUCUGACAUUGUUAAUGGGCUUUGUUUAUAGAUGAGACCAAGUUUCAACCCAGAGAGUGUCUUUAGUGAGAGUAAAGUUUCGUCCAAGUCUAAUGAUAUAACUCAGCUUUGGCAUGUGAAUGGGAAAUGCCCUGCGGACACAGUUCCCAUCAGAAGAACGAGGAAGCAAGAUCUUUACCGAGCGAGUUCCGUCGAGAAGUUCGGUAUGAAGAGCCAGAAGAGUAUUCCUAAGCCUAAAUCUUAUGAGCCAGCUAGUGUCCUUACACAAAAUGGUCAUCAGGUAAUAAUGUUUCAUUGUCAUGUUUUUGUUGUGUGUGUUUAUUAACAAGGUUUAUUAUCUCUUUGGAUUUGAUGUAGCACGCGAUAAUGUAUGUCGAAGAUGGGGUUUUCUACGGGGCGAAAGCGAAGAUUAAUGUAUGGAAUCCGGAUGUGGAGAUGCCUAAUGAGUUUAGCUUGGCUCAGAUUUGGGUUUUGGGUGGAAACUUUAACUCUGAUCUUAAUAGUAUUGAAGCUGGCUGGCAGGUGAAUCUUAUCUUCUUGAAAAGGACUUCUUGUUAAUAGAGAAAGACUGUUUCUAACUCAGAGAUUUGUGUGUGUGUUUUCAGGUCAGUCCACAGUUGUAUGGUGAUACUCGCACCAGGCUCUUCACUUAUUGGACUGUAAGUUUCUACAUAUUUCGGUUUUUUUUUUUUAAUAUUCUUGUCUGUGUUUUAGUUUAUCUAAGUAUCAUUAUUUUGGUUUCUCUUGUGAAAAAAAAAACAGAGUGAUGCAUACCAAGGCACUGGCUGCUAUAACCUUCUGUGCUCAGGGUUUGUUCAAGUCAACAGGGAGAUUGCAAUGGGUGGUUCAAUCUCACCUCUCUCUGGCUAUGGGAACUCUCAGUAUGACAUUACCAUACUUAUCUGGAAGGUAAACCAACAGCAAGAAACCUUUAAAACUUUGAAAGCUUAGAUGCUUUUAGUUAGCUCCCUACAAACAAGAAUAAAAUAACUUAGUUAAAACUAAUAUAAAAAUAUACAUUGUACAGCUAAAUUUAUUUCUAUAUGUAGCCUAAUGAUGUCAAUAAAAAUAUGUAGGCUAAUGAAAAAUAUGGUUUUAGUGAUGUUGUCGGUUUAUUCAGUUUGUUUAGCAUAAAACUAUUUCUACCAACCGGUUUUGGUUUAGCUUCGGUUUGGUUUUUCUCAGGAUCCAAAAGAAGGACAUUGGUGGCUACAAUUUGGAGAGAAGUACAUAAUAGGAUACUGGCCAGCUUCACUCUUCUCUUACUUAUCAGAAAGUGCAUCGAUGAUCGAAUGGGGAGGUGAAGUGGUGAACUCACAGUCUGAGGAAGGAAAACACACCACCACUCAGAUGGGAAGUGGUCGGUUUGCAGAGGAAGGUUGGGGCAAAGCUAGUUACUUCAAGAACGUUCAAGUAGUCGAUGGGUCGAACGAACUGAGGAACCCUGAGAAUCUUCAAGUCUUUACUGAUCAAGAAAACUGUUACAAUGUGAAGAGUGGUGAUGGAGGUUCUUGGGGAAGUCACUUCUAUUAUGGUGGUCCUGGUAGAAACUCUAAUUGCCCUUAAAGAUCUGCCUACUUACACUUGCAUAGCAGGAUCACUCCAGAUUUAAUUAUCAAUUGUAUAAAACAUAUAUUAUAUACGCAUUCUUAAGUAUAUUGGUUUUAGUUUGCAAUGAGUGUGUCUUUGUUUCUAUGGAGUGAAGAGAAUAUAAAUGUCUUUAAAGAACAUGGUCCCAUGUGUAUACUGGAAUAUAUAUAUAAUCACAUUAGUUACUCGUCUUUGUUUUCAGGUGACCUGUGUUAUAAUUGCUUUGUCUACGUAUAACAAAACAUAGAGAUGGGACUUUUGGAUCUUCCAUUAUAAUUAUUGGUCAAACUUCAUUAGUGUAGUGUAAUAAAUAAAUGUAUUGUUUCAUAAUUUAGUUGUUACUAAUACUCAUCCAAAAAUAUAUUGGUUCAUAAUGUAGUUGUCACUAAUAUGUUGCCGUUUGUCUUGUGACUGACACUAUCGCUUAAUUUCUUUUGGAGCGAAUUUAGUAUCUGGUAAUGCGGGCAAGGUUUGACUUCAUUUCCGGUCUCUCUUUUGUGCUUAUUUAGAAACAAAAUAUCUUCUAACACAGUUAUUAAUUCGAUGUCAUAUGUAAAAAUAGAAUCAUUCUAAUAAUUUAAUUUUUAUUAGAACAAGUUUUCUGUCAAAAAGAAGAAUAAAUGAUGAUCAUCUCUUUUGUUAAAACAGAAACAUUAUGACUUUUCUAGGUGGAUUUAAGUUGGACCUCCUAUUAGAUAUGUUAUAUUUUCUGAUCUUAAUAAAUGUUUAUGUUGUCAAAUUAAUUAUGAUAACAAUUUAUUAGAUAUGUUCAUAAUUUUAGAAAGAAUCUCACCUAAAUUUUGAAAAAAACAAAUCAGAAAAUAUCUUAUCAUUAAGAUUGUAUUUUUUUUGGAAAAAUAUUAAAUAUAUAUAUAUAUAUAUAAGUUUUAAAUUUGCAAUAUGGGAUCUAAGCAUAUAUCUGCAUCUAAACUAAACCCAAAAUGGAUUGUCUAUAACUUAGGACUGUGGAAACUGGUGGCUAAGGGUCGGUGAGGAGCUUGUUGGGUACUGGCCUGGCUCGUUGUUUACUUCUCUGAAAGAUAAAGCUGAGGAAGUUUAUUGGGGCGGUGGAAUCGCAAACGAAAUGACCGGCGGGAGACACACAACCACCACUAUGGGAAGUGGGCACUUCGCAGGAGAGUGGUAUAAGAAAGCGAGCUAUUUCAGGAAAGUUAUGACAGUUGAUGGAGCCAAUACUCUGAGAGAAGCAGAAAAUCUUCAUCCUACUACUGAUAAUGAUAACUGCUACAGCGUUAAAGAAGGACAAAGUGGAAGUUCUUAUUGGGGCCGGGGGACUCAUUUCUUCUAUGGUGGUCCUGGUCGAAACGCUAAGUGCCCUUGAUAUCUGGAUAUGUGUGUGUGUGUGUGUGUCAAAGCUUAAGUAUGUCGCAUGUGUAAUUUAAAAUAAGAACAUGUGAUAGUCAUGACAUGAAAAGAAAAAUUCAGUCAAGGUAGUUAGAUCCUUGAUAUUAUGUGUAUGUAAAAGCUUUUUUAGGUCAAAAGUCUGUAAUUUGAAUAAUAAUAUGUUUGAAUGUCAAAAAAGAAUAUGAUAAGAAUAUGCAUGUUUGAUCUGGUCGUAAGGUUUUUGUACAUGAUAGUGUUUGGGCUAGCAACAUUUAUAUUUGUUCGGAACUUCAAUUUUAUAGACACUACAAGAAAACGUAGCAGUAACAACGGCAUUUUACGAGGAAAUAAUUUCCUCGUAAAUUUACAUGAGCUUUACAACGCAAUUACGACGCGACAUGACUUCGUCGUAAACUCGAUGGUAAUUUACGACGAAAUGUAUUCGUCGUAAAGUUAAUGUAAGUUUACGACGAAAGUACGUGGAAUGCAAAAUAGUUGUAAACGUUACAUCGACAUUACAACGAAUCAUGUUACCGUUACAUAAAGGUGAAAACGUGUAUUGAAAGUGCUUUAACUUACCUAAGUUCGUUGUAAACGCGUUGUAAAUUUUCCAUGUAAAAUCCAUGUAAAACUUACCAUAUUUCUCUAUAUAUAUGUCAUUUCCCACAACUCUCUUCCUCACAACACACAACUCUCUUCCUCACAACACACAACUCUCUUCUUCACAACACACAACUCUCUUCUUCUCGAACCACCAAUUACUAUUUCGAAGAUAACGAUAACGAACAUGAGUCAUUCGUCUGUCUGCCAAUUCAGUAGAGCGAUAAGGAGAAAAUGGAGGGAAGUGAAGUUGGUUUAUACUUGAGUGAAACCUCCGACCAUCGUCAAAGGUUCCUCUCAAGUACAAACCAGCUGCACUUCCGUCCACUUUCUCCUUGUCGUUCCACUGAAUUGGCAGACAGACGAACGACACAGGUUCCUUAUCGUUGUUUUAGAAAUAGUAAUUGGUGGGGUAACAACGCAAUUACGACGAAACCAAAUUUCGUCGUAAACGCCAUGUAAUAUUACGACGUAAGUACGUCGAAAAUGAAAUUUUACAUCGAUAUUACAACGAAUCAUGUUACCGUUAUAUUUAGGUGAAAAACUUAUCGAGUUUCGUUGUAAAGUCGUUGUAAAAAAACUAUGUAAAAUCCAUGUAAACUUUCCCUUGUAAAAUCGUUGUUAUAUUUCAACUACCCAACUCGAAAAUUUCUCUAUAUAUAUGUCAUUUCCCACAACUCUCUUCCUCACAACACACAACUCUCUUCCUCACAAGACACAAACGGAAAAAAAAAAAAUUUAAAAAAAAAUAGUAGAAAAAAUGGUCGGUGGCGGUAGUAUUUACGAGUUACGAAGUUGGAUGUAUUUGCACAAAGAUUCCGACGGGAGAGUGACGAAUGCAUUUCUGAACGGGCUAGAGACAUUCAUGCACCAGGCGGGCUGUACACCGAUCACGCAGGAAAGCGGUAAGAUGUUCUGCCCCUGUUCAAAAUGCAAAAAUUCGAAAUUUGCACGUAGUGAAACUGUAUGGAAUCAUUUAGUAAACAGAGGAUUUACACCACAGUAUUACAUUUGGUAUCAACAUGGAGAGGGUUAUGGGGGAAAUGAAGCUAGUAGUAGUAAUGCUAAUUUUGAGGAUGCUCAUCAUAAUGAAGAACCGAAUCAUGUGCAUAAUGAAUAUAAUUAUCAUCAAGAGGAGCAGAUGGUAGAUCAUGAUAGGGUUCAAGAUAUGAUUAGUGAUGCAUUUUUAGAAACAACUACAACAAUAGCAGAUGGAACUGGAAAUGUAGAAGAACCUAAUUUGGAUGCAAAAAGAUUUUAUGAAAUGCUAGAUGCUGCAAAUCAACCAAUCUACACUGGUUGUAGAGAAGGUCUCUCUAAAUUGUCUCUAGCAGCUAGGAUGAUGAAUAUUAAAACGGAUCAUAAUUUACCUGAGAAUUGCAUGGAUGCAUGGGCGGAGUUGUUUAAAGAGUAUUUGCCAGAAGACAACGUGUCUGCUGAAUCUUAUUAUGAGAUUCAGAAAUUGGUUUAUAGUCUUGGGUUACCCUCGGAGAUGAUUGAUGUUUGCAUCGACAACUGCAUGAUCUACUGGAAGGAAGAUGACAAGUUAGAAGAGUGUCGAUUCUGCAAAAAACCACGAUUCAAACCGCAAGGCCGUGGGAGGAAUAGGGUACCGUACCAAAGGAUGUGGUACCUACCAAUUACAGACAGAUUGAAAAGAUUAUAUCAAUCUGAGAGGACUGCUGCGUCGAUGAGGUGGCAUGCCGAACAUGUCCAGAGAGAUGGUGAGGUUGCACAUCCAUCAGACGCAAGAGCGUGGAAACAUUUCAACAAGGUACACGCAGAUUUUGCUACAAAUAUUCGGAAUGUCUAUCUUGGGUUAUGCACCGAUGGAUUUAGUCCAUUUGGAAUGUCUGGUAGACAAUAUUCUUUGUGGCCAGUCAUUCUUACGCCGUAUAAUUUACCGCCGGAUAUGUGCAUGGAACAAGAAUUUCUAUUUUUGACCAUAUUAAUCCCUGGGCCGAAGCAUCCAAAACGGUCUCUUGAUGUUUUUCUUCAACCGUUGAUAGAAGAGCUAAAGCAAUUGUGGUCAGAAGGGGUGAGGACGUACGAUUGUUCCUUGAAAAACAAUUUUACGAUGCGAGCAGUUCUGCUGUGGACGAUAAGUGAUUUCCCUGCUUAUGGGAUGUUGUCUGGCUGGACAACACAUGGAAGAUUAUCUUGUCCAUAUUGUCUUGGAUCGACGGAUGCUUUUCAACUGAAGAAUGGUAGGAAGAGUUGUUGGUUUGACUGUCAUCGUCGCUUUCUUCCACUUGCCCAUCCGUACAGAAGAAAUAAGACAUUGUUUCGGCACAAAAAAAUUGUCAGAGACGGUCCUCCUCCAUAUCUCACCGGCCAGCAGAUCGAAGCAGACAUUGAUUAUUACGGAGCUCAGGAAACAGUUAAAGUUGGAGGAAAUUGGCAUGUUCCUGGAAAUAUGCCUGAUGGAUAUGGUGUGUCUCACAAUUGGCAUAAGAAGAGUAUAUUUUGGGAGCUACCCUAUUGGAAGGAUCUUCUCUUACGCCACAAUCUGGAUGUCAUGCAUAUUGAGAAGAACUUUUUUGAGAACAUCAUGAAUACAUUACUUAACGUCCCUGGGAAGACAAAAGAUAACAAAAAGUCAAGGAUGGACUUACCUGAUAUUUGCUCAAGAAGUGAGUUACAUAUCAAGAGCAAUGGAAACGUUCCUGUUCCCAUCUUCCGGUUGUCAUCAGAAGCCAAAACAACCUUGUUUGACUGGGUUGCAUCAGAAGUUAAGUUUCCUGAUGGUUAUGUUUCAAAUCUGUCAAGAUGUGUUGAACGAGGUCAAAAGUUCUCCGGAAUGAAGAGUCAUGAUUGUCAUGUGUUUAUGCAACGACUACUUCCAUUUGCUUUUGCCGAGCUCCUUCCAGCAAAUGUCCAUGAAGCACUUGCAGGUAAUUAUAAAACGUUAAUAUAUAUACAUAUGUUAUGAAAUGUUAUUAAUUUGAUUACUUUUGCAAUAUACAGCCAUCGGCGCUUUUUUCAGAGAUCUCAGCACACGUACGUUCAAGGAAGAAGUCAUCGAACAACUUCAUCAUAACAUUCCGAUCAUAUUGUGCAACCUGGAGAAGAUAUUUCCUCCUUCAUUUUUUGACGUCAUGGAGCAUCUAGUUGUCCACCUACCGUAUGAAGCAUUGCUUCGUGGACCUGUUCACAACGGAUGGAUGUAUCCGUAUGAGCGACAGAUGAAACAUUUGAAGGGGAAAGCAAGAAAUCUUGCAAAGGUGGAAGGUUCAAUAGUUGCGGGGAGUUUGACAGCCGAAACAUCUAACUUCACAUCAUACUACUUUGCUCCAACUGUUCGUACGAGAAAAAGAGUUCCUAGAAGAUAUGAUGAUGGUGGAGUACCGACAUCAUAUCCAAUUGAUGGUGUUCCUGACAUUUUCUGCGAAAUUGGACGGUUUGGUGGUAAAACGAAAGAAGUAUGGUGGUCAUGUGAAGAAGAUAAACUCUCUCUAAGGUAAACUCUCUCUUCUCUCUCUCUUUUUUUUUUUUUUUAAAUUAGUUUAGGUGAUUAGUUAGGUAACGGAAUUAGUUUAGGUGAUUAGUUAGGUAAUUAGUUUAGGUGAUUAGUUAGGUAACGGAAUAAUAUUUUUAUUAUGUCGUAACUGAUAAAAUUUAUUUUAAUUUUUUUUAGAUGGCUCCUAGAAGAAAAUCCAGAGCACCUAGUUAUAGAGAUUUGUUUGGCGACGAUGGUUCCGGUACAUCUUCUUCCGGUCCAUCGUCUUCUGGUCCAUCAUCCUCCACCGCAGUUCCAGACUCUCAGCCUUCUCAGAGAGUUGCUUGGAGUCCUCCUCCACCGCAGAUGCCUCCACCGCAAAUGCCUCCACCGCAUAUGCCUCCACCUCCUCCUCCAGCGGCUGCACCUGAGCCUGUCCCAGAAGGUGCAGUUCAUCCGGAUUUGCGUGUGCCUUCAUAUGCCCCAUUCGCGAGAUAUACGGUAGAGGAUUUGCUUGCCCAGCCCGGACGAGAGGGUUUGGAUGUUCUAGACCCCGAUAGACCCCGAGGAACUUAUUGGUAAGUUAUUAAUUUUUAUUACAUAAAAAUUUAAAAUAUUUUUAUUUUCUAACGGUUAAAUUGUUUUCCUUUCAGGUUUGGGGCUAAUAACCGUGUUGGCCGGAGCGUUUCGAAAACGAUUAAGGGUUACUACGACGGGGCAUAUCCGAACUGGAGCAAGACUCCAAAUCACGUUAAGAUCACGUGGUUUAAAAUGUUUGCGGUAAGAUUUUUAAAUUUAAUUAAAUUUUAACUUUUAAAUAUGUAUAUAUUUUUUAAAUAUUAUUAUUAAUUGUAAUUUUUUCAAAUUUUUUGUGUUUCAGCAAAAGUGGCAUUGGUCUUUGGGAAUCACCGAGAUGGUGAAGGCGGAAUUCGUUGCAAAAGCAAAGAUCCGCCUCUGCAACACAGUCUCCGAUUGGAAGGACAAGUGGGAGCUCGACGGGUAUGAGGGAAAGCCCACUGAGCUCACGACGGAUGUGUGGGAUGGCCUCAUCGCCUAUUGGAAGCACCCGUCUUCGAUCAAAAAGGCCAAUUCGUGCUCGGCUUCUCGAAGAACGAAGGAUAAAGAUGGUAAUUUGCCCAUGCUUCACAGAACCGGCCAAAAACCACAUGCAGGCAUCCGUCUAGACGUUGUAAGUUUUGUUUUUAAAUAUUUAUUUUAAAAUAUUCAAUUAAUAUAACUUUUAAUAUUUUUUUUUUGUAGUUGGAGAAGACGGGAGUCUUACCAUCUCUGUCUGACCUAUUCAAGAUGACUCACGCCACAUCCGACGGAGUUUUUGUGGAUCCUGCAUCAGAGAAACUCGCUCAAGCAGUGGCUACUCGGAUUGAAGAACGGGAGACGCAACUAACUCAGGAGUCUCCCGAUGGAUUACCCGUCACAUUGUCCACCGAAGAAGCCGACCGAAUCUUCGAAGAGGUAGUACAACUAAAAUUUUUUUUUUCAUUAUUUUUAAUAACUAUAUUAAUAUAUGUUUUAAUUUUAUAGCUGGCUCCUAGAAAGAAGGGACGAAUAGUCGGUAUAGGCUCUGUUAACCAAGUUGCAAGGGCAACUUCGUCAUACACUUCGAGACGGGAUGAAGAGACUUCUCAGAUGAAAGCUCGAAUGGAUAGCCAGCAGGUUCGUUUAGACUCUCUUGAGGAUUUGCUAGACGUGAUGGCCGUGGGAAACCCGGUUAUGCAGAGAAUGUUGAGUCAGAGACGAGCCGCUCUUGGGUUGCCAGUACGAGAUCCCCAAGAGUCCGAUCCAACCCGUCAACAGCCGAGCAACCCCACCGACUACUUCGAUGAUAUGUAGUUUUUUUAAUAUUUUCGGUUUGUAUUAUGAAUUUAAAUAUUAUGACUUUUAAAUGCUUUUUUAUAUAUGUUUUUUAUUUUCAUAUUUCGUUUUAAAAUUUAAUUUAUUUAAAAUUAAAAUUAUUUAAAAUUCUGAAUUUUAAAUAAAUUCAAAUUAUAAUAUAUUUGAGGUUAAAAACAAUAUUCAAAAUAUAUUAUAAAACGAAACGUCGAUGUAGGCUCGACGUAAACAUUUACAACUAAUUACCGUCGAAAUGAUUUACGAGUCUUUUACAUCGAAGAUUUUACGUGGUCUUUACAUCGAAAUUUUACGUGGAGUUUACAUCGAAACAUUUACGAGGGUGUUACAACGAAACAAUUUACGUGUGCUUUACAUCGAAUCCAUUACGUGGAGUUUACCACGAAAUUUUACGUGUCAUUUACGACGAAUAUCUGCCCUGCGCUUUACGAGGAAUAUAUUUUGUCGUAAACGUAACAAGUCAUUUACGACGAAUCGUCGGUUACGACGGGCGUUUUACGACGAAACGUGUUUCGAAGUUCAUUCGUCGUAACACUCCGUUUACGACGAAGUUACAACGUAUAUUGCCCUCGUAAAAAAUAUGUUUUCUUGUAGUGAGAUUUCUCUUAACAUUUUCCACCAAUUUUUUUAAAAAUAGAUUUCUGAAUAUCAUUUGAUGCAUUGGACGAACUGGCGGUAACAAAGGUCAUGAUGCUUUCAGUUUUAUGGAGUUCGCUUUUUCGUGGAUUUGGGUUUAUGAUUUUGUAAGCAAACAAAGUUUUUUUUUGAAAAUUUUCCUUUAAUAUUCUACUAGAUGGAUCUUCCAACAAUGUUAACAUAAAAUAUCGUUACAUAAAAAAAAAGAUAUCGUUACAUAUAUUUUAUAUGAUUCAUGUACCUAUAUUUUUGUAUAAAAUUCUAUAUACAUGUAAUGACAUUUCUACUCUGAAAAUGUUCGUGGCAUCUUUUUCCAUGAUUGAAUUUGUAUGGUACACUUAAUAGAGUUCUAAAGAUGUGUAGGUUAUUGAAGACCGUUUCGGAGACCGAUUCCUAACUACAAACAUCUUACAAAUGAUUUUGUAUUGGAAAUUAAGUAUAUAUAUUAAAAUCAUAUUAGUUUUAUAUAUUUUUAACAAGUACCAGGUUUCUUUUGCUUUUGGAUAAACUGUAACAAGUCGUUGUCCCUUGUCAUCAAAAUUUCAAGUAUUCCCUUGCACGAUAUGUAAACUGCAGAAAAAAAAAGAAAAGAGAAGGAUAUAAUAAACAUGUAUAUUUUGAAUAAAACCUUGCACGACAACUUCAGUUAGAUCGAUAAGCAUUGACUUCUACGUUUACGUUUGCGUUAUUUCUCAUUAACAAUGAAGAAUAUGCUUUACACUUAUUCUCUUUGGCAUUUAACUUCUCUUGCUUAUUUUAUAGUAUAUUCUUGACGAGUUUUUAAAAACAUCAAGAUACUAAAAAUAUAUACAACCCAUGACUUCAAGUUUCUACUGUUAGACCAUUUCAAAUCAAUCUCCCCAUCUCAAAAUGGGAAACUGUCUUUCAAUCACGGAUCCUUCUCCCGAAGCUGUAUCAGAGAAGAUUCUCAAAGCACUUCCCGUGGAAACUCCUUUCAAGUUUCCCUCACCACUGCCUACUUUGCCUCAAGGUUUGUACUAUAUAUGGUUCUUGUCCAUCUCUUGUGAGAAUAUAAAACUUCUACAGAGUUUCGAGGAAACAUGAAUAAUAUAAAAGACUUGGAUCAGUCCAGCCAGUUGGUUUUAAGUUGAAAAUUCGUAAAACUUAACAUUUAUUGGUUUGAUGAUUUUUAUUUGACUUGAAUCUUCAGGUAACGGGUUUGCAAAACGAACCAUUGACUUGGGAGGUCUUGAGGUUAGCCAAGUUUCGACAUUCAACAAGGUCUGGUCCACUUAUGAAGGUGGACCAGACAACCUCGGAGCAACCUUCUUUGAACCAUUAUCGGUCCCUUCCGGUUUCUCCAUCCUCGGUUACUACGCUCAACCAAACAACCAUCAACUAUUCGGAUGGGUACUCACAGCUAGGGAUCUCUCAAGCGACACCUUGAAAUCGCCUCUAGAUUACACCCUCGUAGCAAACACCGAGUCACUCAAGAUCAAACAAGACGGACCUGGAUACAUCUGGCAGCCCGUGCCGCCUGAUGGAUACCAAGCCGUUGGUUUAUUAGUCACAACCACCUCUCAAAAGCCUCCUCUAGACAAACUACGUUGUGUUAGGUCAGACUUAACCGAACAGUGUGAAGCUGACACAUGGAUAUGGGGAAUUAACGGAGUCAACGUCUCAAACCUAAGACCGAACAUUAGAGGGACACAAGCUACAGGAGUCUGUGUCGGAACAUUCACAUGGCAACCUCAAAACUCAUCUCCUCCAUCUUUAGCUUGCUUGAAGAACACGAAACUAAACUUCUCUACCAUGCCAAACGGGUCCCAAAUCGGUGUCUUGUUCAACACGUAUUCUCCAUUGAUCCAUCUCCACCCAGACGAAGAAUACCUACCUUCCUCUGUCAACUGGUACUUCAGCAACGGUGCCUUGCUUUACAAGCAAGGUCAAGAAUCAAACCCUAACCCUAUCGAAUCCAACGGAGCAAACCUUCCACAAGGCGGAUCUAACGACGGUUCAUACUGGCUAGACCUGCCUAGAGACAAGAAGGCCAAAGAGAGAGUUAAGAAGGGUGACUUGCGGAACACGAAAGCGUAUCUCCACAUCAAACCAAUGCUCGGAGCAACGUUCACCGACAUAGCCAUCUGGCUAUUCUACCCUUUCAAUGGUCCCGCACGUGCCAAAGUCAAGUUCAUCAACCUCCCGUUAGGGAGGAUCGGCGAACACAUUGGUGAUUGGGAACACGUGACGUUACGUAUAAGCAACUUCACCGGAGAGCUAUGGAGAGUGUUCUUGUCUCAGCACAGCGGAGGAGUUUGGCUCGACGCUUGUGACCUAGAACCCAUGACUUCAAGUUUCUACUGUUAGACCAUUUCAAAUCAAUCUCCCCAUCUCAAAAUGGGAAACUGUCUUUCAAUCACGGAUCCUUCUCCCGAAGCUGUAUCAGAGAAGAUUCUCAAAGCACUUCCCGUGGAAACUCCUUUCAAGUUUCCCUCACCACUGCCUACUUUGCCUCAAGGUUUGUACUAUAUAUGGUUCUUGUCCAUCUCUUGUGAGAAUAUAAAACUUCUACAGAGUUUCGAGGAAACAUGAAUAAUAUAAAAGACUUGGAUCAGUCCAGCCAGUUGGUUUUAAGUUGAAAAUUCGUAAAACUUAACAUUUAUUGGUUUGAUGAUUUUUAUUUGACUUGAAUCUUCAGGUAACGGGUUUGCAAAACGAACCAUUGACUUGGGAGGUCUUGAGGUUAGCCAAGUUUCGACAUUCAACAAGGUCUGGUCCACUUAUGAAGGUGGACCAGACAACCUCGGAGCAACCUUCUUUGAACCAUUAUCGGUCCCUUCCGGUUUCUCCAUCCUCGGUUACUACGCUCAACCAAACAACCAUCAACUAUUCGGAUGGGUACUCACAGCUAGGGAUCUCUCAAGCGACACCUUGAAAUCGCCUCUAGAUUACACCCUCGUAGCAAACACCGAGUCACUCAAGAUCAAACAAGACGGACCUGGAUACAUCUGGCAGCCCGUGCCGCCUGAUGGAUCCCAAGCCGUUGGUUUAUUAGUCACAACCACCUCUCAAAAGCCUCCUCUAGACAAACUACGUUGUGUUAGGUCAGACUUAACCGAACAGUGUGAAGCUGACACAUGGAUAUGGGGAAUUAACGGAGUCAACGUCUCAAACCUAAGACCGAACAUUAGAGGGACACAAGCUACAGGAGUCUGUGUCGGAACAUUCACAUGGCAACCUCAAAACUCAUCUCCUCCAUCUUUAGCUUGCUUGAAGAACACGAAACUAAACUUCUCUACCAUGCCAAACGGGUCCCAAAUCGGUGUCUUGUUCAACACGUAUUCUCCAUUGAUCCAUCUCCACCCAGACGAAGAAUACCUACCUUCCUCUGUCAACUGGUACUUCAGCAACGGUGCCUUGCUUUACAAGCAAGGUCAAGAAUCAAACCCUAACCCUAUCGAAUCCAACGGAGCAAACCUUCCACAAGGCGGAUCUAACGACGGUUCAUACUGGCUAGACCUGCCUAGAGACAAGAAGGCCAAAGAGAGAGUUAAGAAGGGUGACUUGCGGAACACGAAAGCGUAUCUCCACAUCAAACCAAUGCUCGGAGCAACGUUCACCGACAUAGCCAUCUGGCUAUUCUACCCUUUCAAUGGUCCCGCACGUGCCAAAGUCAAGUUCAUCAACCUCCCGUUAGGGAGGAUCGGCGAACACAUUGGUGAUUGGGAACACGUGACGUUACGUAUAAGCAACUUCACCGGAGAGCUAUGGAGAGUGUUCUUGUCUCAGCACAGCGGAGGAGUUUGGCUCGACGCUUGUGACCUAGAGUUCCAAGGAGGAGGAAGCAACAAGCCUGUGGCGUACGCGUCGCUUCACGGACACGCAAUGUAUGCUAAACCUGGACUUGUGUUGCAAGGAGACGGUGAUGUUGGGAUAAGGAACGAUACGGCGAAGAGUAAGAAGGUGGUUGAUACGGGGUUAGGGUACGAGGUGGUUGCGGCGGAGUAUGAAGGCGGAGGAGUGGUGGAGCCGCCGUGGCUGAAUUAUUACAGGAAGUGGGGACCUAAGAUUGAUUAUAGCGUUGAUGAUGAUGUUAAGAGGGUGGCGAGGCUGUUGCCUGGAGCUUUGAAGAAGGCUUUUGACAACUUUGCGAAGAAGAUUCCUGAUGAAGUGUAUGGUGAAGAUGGGCCUACUGGGCCUAAACUCAAGGGAAACUGGGCUGGUGAUGAAAAAUGAUGAUUUUAUUAUUUAGUUUUCAUGGAAGUUGUUUGGUUUGAUUCUUUGUAAUAUACUGUAUAUCACAUUCUUUGUAUGUUCUAUGUAAAAAGGUUAUGCUAACACUCUAUUUGAUUUAUCUAUUUGUUUUAUGUUACACACUGAUUUCUCGAGCUCUGUUUCAUCAGUUGUAUAACAUACAAGGAUGUGAUAAAAUUUAUACAAACUUCUCGGAAACAAAGAACUAAACUCAAAAUAAUAUUGAAUAGUACUAUUUGAUUAUAAUGAAGCAGCGAUUACUCUUGGAUUUGAAUCUGAGAAAUCGCUGACAUAACCCAGACGAUCUUCUCCUUAAGUCAUACGACUCAAUCCAAAUCCAUAAGCUGACUAACUAUGAAGAAAACAACAAGGAUUUAUAAAAAGACUAUAACUGAAACAGAGUUUAUUAUUUUAAUUAUCUCGUGCUACGUCACCAGAAAUGUUACAGAUUUGAUUCCUUUCUGUUUAUUCUAGUAGCAACGGUUGGCAAAGAGGCUUUAGUAUUGUGCCAUCAAGUUCCAUAAAAUACGUGACAACGACUCCAAUAAAAGAGCAUACAGCUGGGACAAGUCCUAAUCCAUAUCUUGUCACCGAAAAGUCAAAACUAUGUGUGCUGGUUACGACAUCUUCGGGUGAAGUCCCGUCUGCACAAUAUAUCCAAAUCACACGUCCAUCAACAAUUUUAUCCGAGUUGAGAUAAUAUUAGUACCUAAGAAGAAAACUUACUUUUGUGUGACUGAAGAACAUAUAAAGCAAUGCCACAUGACAUUUUAUCUAAGAAACUUAAAGACCCACAAACGAAAGCACAUCCACCUAGUUCUGAACCAACCAACACACUCUGCAUACUAAUUGCAGUCACCUGUAAAGAUUAAGAUUAGUCAAAAGAUAUGUUAGAGUUUCCUUACAUCACAUAAAGACAUCAGAUAUAGUAGAGGAAUGUCUUACCAGAAUCAAUGCAUUUGCUAUGCCGAUUAAGACAGAGAUCGCAUACAUGAAAGAGUUAAUGCUUCUUGGCAAAAAGAGGACAGAUACACCGCAGAACAUCCAAAUGAUACCACCAGCACAAUAAUAGGCCUUUAGGCGUUUCCCAUUCCAAGGAAUCUCCUACAUUAAUGGGAAUAUAUAGUUACAUAACAUAAAGGUUUUAACAAUGUUUAAGAAAUCGCUAAGCGGUAGUUAAACGUUUUAUAUGCGAUUAUUGAUUAUGUAGGUGUCUAAAUCGAUUUUUUGAACGCCUAAGCCUUUUUUUUAAAUCGUUUUAGAAAAAUUGUUUUUGUCCACUUUUCCAGCUAAAUCCAUUUUUAGAACACUUGUUUUUAGAGAUGGGGAAGACGAAUAAGGUUUGAACUUCUUGUAUACCUGAAGCAUAACCGACACAACGAAGCUGCAGAUAUAGAUUAUUGCAGGAAUCUGAAAAUGAAAACAUUGGUUCAGACAGGAUCUCUGUACUUUCCGAUUGCCUCUUUUGAGGAAGAAUUAAUGAUAACUAUUAUUAAAAAAAAAGUUCGAUGAUCAACAGAGAUUCUUCUUUCACUUACCAGAGCUUUAGCGGAUUGAGCCAUUUGCAAGUCAUCAAUAACAAAGAAUGCAAGAUAUGCCUGUGGAUAUAAAUGUAAUCCAGGAAUGUGAGUAUUAAUAUAGAUAGAAGAGAAGCAAGAAAGUGAGAAACGAUACAUAAACUAACCUGGGAAACAUUCAAGACUAGUCGUGUGAGGAGAUAAACCAUAGCGACUUGAUAAUAUAGAAUUUUACGGAACCAAUAGGCCCAUGGUAUUCUUGCUCGGUUAGUUUCCCUUAGAGUUAUACGCAGCCUUUGAACAUAAAAAGAAGACCAACUCAUUUUCAAUAAUAAUAUCAUCUAACCAUGCAUGAAACUUUGGUUAAAGUUGAUUUAAGCAUUUUAGAGAAAUGUUUGCAUUACCGUGGUUCUUUUGUCCCCAUAAGAAAUACGACCACAAAGCAGCAGCCAACGGUAAUGCAUGAAUAAGCAAUCCAACGAUACUAUAGACUUAAAGACAGGCUAAUUAGAAUCAUAUCUACAGGCAUUAACUCUGGCGUAUAUAAAAACAAUCGCGUAUAAGGCUAUAAAAAACACAAACCUGUGAUUCAGUGUUUUCUUUUGUAUCAGCCUUGCUGACACCAAAUACAACUAAAGCAAUCGCGUAUAAGGCUAAAUUAGCAACCUGAAAACACACAGUCCAAGGAAAAGUCAAGAACUAAAAAAAAUAAAUAAUAAUAAUAUAUAUAAGAGCCAUAAUAAGACUAUAGGGGAAAGAGCUGACCAUGCUAAACGCAUUACGAGAGCUUGUUAGUGCUACUCUGCUUGUUGAGUUCAGUGUAAUGUAAUUGACCAUAGCCCUAAAGAGUAAAGAUAUGAAAAUGAAUACUUACUGAUGUUAACCUAAAGAGAAGAUAAAAUGAAGAAAAGAGAAGAGUGUUUUACAUGUGGGAAACCUGAGUAGCUGCCCAUCCUAUAUUGAAGAUAGCUGCAAACAUGCUGUACGAUAAUGUUUCUAGCGUUAAAGAGUUACUAUGGAGGAUAGUACAAGGCAAACACCCGCCAAAAACCGAUGAAAAUGAGAUAGCCACUAAUAGGGACCCUGCGGCGUGCCAGAUUUUGAAAUGCCCAAAUCUAUCAAUCUGCAUGUUAAGAAGACAGUGAUGUGACAAUAUUUACAUUAACUGAAACCAACAUAGCCGUAAAAUGACAUGAUUACUAAGAGAACCUAAAUGUCCGAAAAGAGUUGCUUGAACACAUUAUAGCAAUUACCAAUAAAGAGAUGGUUAUUGAAACCAAAACAAACUCUCACAACAAAGAAACUAAACCCAAAGUUUGUGUUACUCAAAAGAUUCAAGCUUAUAAAGAAGUUACCGAUUCACCAACGAAGACAGUAGCAAAACCAUCAGCAACUUGACCAGAGAGCAUGACGAUGGCAGCAUCCCUACAGAACAAACAAAAAACUACAUUUGAUGAUCUCACUAGUAGGAAUGGAUUUUAUGUGAAGAGUUGACUUACAAACCUUGGGGAGAGACCAAUCUGAGUCAAGAACAGGAGAAGGUAAGUGAACCAACAAGAAGCAGUAAUGUCAUUGAGCAUAUGCCCAACUCCAUAGUAAAACACAGACAACCUUCCAAGUGGUUUUGUGAAUGAUACCUCUUCACUCUCUCCAACAAUAACCAAUGACGCCAUCAACCAAUCGUUUAUGUUCUUCUUGCUCCACUAUUUAAUUGAAUAUUAACGACGGAAGAAGAAGAAUAUAUAUAUAAGCAAAAAUAUACAGCAUUUAGUAAAAAUAAUAUUACUACUAUUAAAUAGAAAAUUUAAACGAUCGUGGAGAAACAGGGGAGAUAAAAUUAAAUAGUCUGCGAAAUCAUGCUGUCAUCAUUUGUUCUUAUUACAGGUUUUUCGACAUAAAUUAGUUAUUCACUGUUCCUCGUACUUCCUAGUUUUUUCUUUUUAUCGUACUUCCUAGUUUGCCUAAUGUUUAUGUUAUAUUCGGUAGCCAAAUUAUCUACAAUUUAGUUGGCAAUAUAACCAAAAACUAUACGAGACUGAAACGUAACUCGUCUCGUAUUUUGCAUCAUACAAAAGAAACUUGUCAUCAACGUUUCUCAUUAUUUUAGUCAAAAAAAAAAAAAAAAACGUUUCUCAUUAUUCAUUACUAGCUUCUGAAAAGGUUAUUUAACAAAAUUCGUGUGAUUAAAUCGUAUUUGAUAUCAGCUAUAUGAUUCGUAAAUGCAUGUCUGCUUCCUUCCUGGUACGCAGUUAAUGUUCAUAUUGACGAGAAUACGAUUGUACUGUUAUUUAGAAUCGUCGUGAACAUAAAAAUUCACAUGAAAACAUUAUGCAUCUUCUUCUCUUUUUGUUUUCAAGCCCUUAUUUUCAAAACAUUACACUACACAUAGCACAUCGUCAAGUACAAGGAAAGAAUAGAAUACUUUUCCUAAGGAGCAUUAUUAUUUUCUGCGAUAUUAUGAAAUUCAAACGGUCAAACCUAACAUGGGAGCCUGCAUGGAUGUAUUUUUGUACUUCUUCCCAAAAAAAUUUCUUAUAGUAAGUACUUAUGCUAUAAUAUUUUUAGAUUCUUUUUAGUUUUUUUAAAUUAUAUAAAAUAUAUAUGAAAAUGAUCAAUAAACAAAUUCUUAAAAUUUAAGCAAUAUUUAUGAUUAAAGAACACAUAAUUAGAUAUUUUGACAAUCUCUUUAGACUAAUAAUUUUUUUUCUAUGUUUAUAUGUCGUUUUCCAAAUAUUUUUGAUGAACUUUGAACAAUUAAUCUUUCCUUUUCAUGGUUUAUUUGUGAUUAUGAUUUUUUGUUUUCUUUAUUGUAUUUUUGUUGUGAUCUGUCAUUAUCCAUAAUUUCUUAAAUAGAAAUCUAAGAGCAUCUCCAAUUGUACACAAAACUUUACUCUAUAUUUCACUUUAAAAUAGAGUAACUCUAUUAUAAAUUUGAAUUUGUUUUAAUGGUUCACUCUAUAAUUGAGUUAUUUUUAUAAUAGAAUGAAAUAUAGAGUAAUGUUGCUUUUUCACUCUAUAAGUACUCAACUAGUUAGAUGAUGUCAGAUUUUAUAAAUAAAAGAAAAUUAUAUUCACUAAAUUAUAAAAUUGUGAUAAACUCAAAUGUUAUGUAUUAAAAGCAUGUUUUGCUAUUAUAUUAUUUAUAUAUAUCAUUUUUAUACGAAGCUAAUGAUAAUAUUACAACACUACGAAGAAAUGGGCAAUGAGUUCGAAUGUUUUUUUUUUGAACUGAAUGAGUUCGAAUGUUAGCCAUCGUUUACGUAACCUUUGAGCGUAACUCGUACCUGGCAAAAGAGAUUGUCCGACCAUGGUUGUUACCAUCGUCGGUUCUUGCGGUUGGAGACAUGCUGGGGUUCAGGGGCCGAUCCAAUGGCCAUUUACUAUUUUCGUUUUGGAUGGGCUUUUUCUUCUUCAAGAUUUUGGUGAAAAAUUAAAAUUCGAUAUUUUUGAAAAAUAUUUCGUCGCCUGAGAGAUUCGAACUCUCGCGGGGAAACACCAUGUACUUAGCAGGCACACGCCUUAACCACUCGGCCAAAGCGACGUUUUGUUAGACACUGAAAUUAUACUUUAAUGUUAAAACUAAAAUAGCUUCUUUUGCAGAUUUACAAAGGCUCUCAAAUGAUAAUCCAUAGUCUGAGAAUAAUUUAUAAGAAACUAGAGAAAAUUCUGAUUUAAAAACUACUUCUCAACCACCACUUCUUCGAUGUCCUCUUCACAGUCAAUACUAGCGACGGAGGAGACAACUAACUGGAGCUACUGCAGGUUGCGGCUAGUGGAUGCCAUUAUAUUCUGUGAUUUUGACCAUAUCACCUUGAUGUAAUAUACAUUUCCAAAUCUAUAUGCAUUUACACAGUUUUGAAAUGUUUUUUCACAUAUUAAUUUCUUAAUAAUAUUUUUUUCUCUUUAUAAUGAGUUUUUCAAUUUAAAUUGCAUGAAAAUUAAAACGUUACAGGACUUUCUUCAAUUAGCUAAAGUGGCCCAAAUACACAUAUUAGUAGAGAACCAAUAAAUAAUGUGAGAAUACAAAAUUUCUUAAUGAAUAGUUAAUUUCUUAUAUAAACAAACUCGUAUUUACAAAUUACACUGGACAUGUUUAUUGAGUGAAACCUAAAUUAAUGAACUCCACUCUCUCUAGUUAUUUAAAUCGACGAAUGAUAUGGUUUCUAGUUCAUGCCCCCAUUCACAUACAUUUUGCAUUCAAAAGUUGGCAUAUAAGUAGAACGAGUCCUCCAGUCCGCGUAAGAGCAUUAAAAAUAAUGACUACAAAGAUUUUGCUCCCCCUAGAUUUAUAAUAAUUGAAAAUACAGCUAUUUAGCAAAAUAUCGAAUCUCUAAGAUUUAUAUAACCAAACACGCUAAUAUCAAACACACUUUCAUAUUUAUAGAUGACAAUAAAUAAGCUUUGACUUAUAAAAUUGAUUUAUGUUUAAGUUAAAUAUUAAAAAUUAAUUAUGACCUCUCCUUAUAAAUUACAACCAAAUGUAUUGCUUACAAGAAUUAACAAAACAUGGUCAAAAUCACAUAAUAUAAUGAUAUUUCGUUUGUUUUGUUUAAAAAAAAAAGAAGGUAUUUCGCAUGAGUAAAAGCUGAAUUUUUACACUUUGGCCAGAGAUAUAAAGAAAGGUUGUAAACUCAUAGACUUAAGAGAUUUUUUGGUUUAGUCUGUAUGUGAUUUUGUAGAAAUAAUAGCGCAUAUUGAUAAAUAUGCAACACUUGCUUUAGCCUUUGUUUGUGAAUUGUGGUGACAUAAGUCCAUCCCUACAAGUCAUGUAUUUGUAACGACUUGAAAGUAAAAUAUUUUCGGAAGACAUCUCGAUAUAUAAUCUGCAUUUCAGUCCGGACUCCGAAUAUCCAUAUAUAUGAUCUAAAUUGGGUUUCUGAAAUAAAAAUAAAACACAACUUACGUCAAGUCAACGGAGGUUAAAUCCACCCUGUCGCUCUUGUUUGGUCCUUUGGCAAAACAAAAGUCAACUACUAUUUUAGGUGCUUGAAACUUUUUAAAAGGUUUGUAUAUUAUUUUUCCUUUUGUAAAAAUGUCAGCUUUUCAGUGCAAAAUUUUAAAUAACCAGUUUACUAGAAACAAAAAACAACGGGAAGACAUGUUUCCUUAGGGUUUUUUAAACACCAUGACAUAUAUAUAUAUGCGUCGACACCUCAGACAUGUGUAGAUGAAUGAGCUCACGAAUAUAUUUAUAUAUGUAUAUGUCUAAGGAGUUUAUAUAUAUGUAAGUGUCUAAAUACAUAGAGAUGUGAACCAAUAAGAUAUUUAUAAACUAUUUAAGUGUGGUAGAUUAGUUUGAUUGGUUAAGGUAAACUAUUUUUGGUUAAUCAAGUCGGAUUUCAACCUAAAUAAGAUGAUAUUAAGACUAGUAAUCUGAAUCUAGCACUGGAACUUUCACUUUUAUUACCUUGUAGUAUGGUUUAAUGGUUUUUGUUAUUACAUCAUCAAUUUUACCAAAAAAAAUUAUUAUUACAUCAUGAAAUCGAAGCAAAUUAACUAAAAGUAGGAUUAUAACUAUGUCGGUUUUCAAGUGACAGUUUCCUGAGUCAGAUUUUGACCCCACAAAUUAUAGAAAUCAGUAUUAAAACUGCAUAAGAUUUGAAUAUUUGAAUAUUGUUAUAAUUUAUAACAAAAUUAAAUUCUAAAUACGAUGUCAUUAGCCAACAUAAUAUAUGAAUCAUUUAAAGAUGCAGAAACGCCAUAUAGCAUACCAAUUAAUUAGCAGUGGCAAUUAGACAGUAAUAACACUUGUAAAGAGAAAUAUACAUAUACCGAUAAGUCUGAUAUACAUACAUAGUAUAAAAACUGAAACAGCAUCAUAAUUAAUUAGUUUUCAUAACUACAUGCCGACAAUAACACCUUUUCACGCUCCAAAAAAUUCAAAUUAGUUUUGUUUUUUUUGAAACAAAAAUCAAAUUAAAUUGUGACCAAAGAUAUGGUUCAUGCUACCUCUAUGCAUAUGUACUUAAAUGAUAUGUAUAGUAUUUUAUAAUAGUAUAGUUUAGAUUUCUCGUCAGUUGGUUGGUUGAUAACAAAUUCCUCGUAAAAUAAAACUAAAAAUGUUCUCAUAUAAUACACUUAGACUUUAUUUAAAUCAAGUUGGUGUGUGUCAUGGAGGGCAGGUCCAUAGGUGUUUCGUCCAACACAUUAUUUACCAUUUUGAUAUUCAAGUUUGUUAUUAAUAAAAUGUUUUUUGACUAACCAACAACCCUAUACUUGAAAAUUCUACAUAAAUAUAUAUAACCAACCGCCGCAGUAUUAUUCCACGACUUGCCAAUUAUUUUUGUUCAAACAGCACAUUUCACAAAAGAAAACACAUCUGAUCUUUUCUCAUUCGUUUAUAACUUUUCUCGUCUGUGUUUCUAGUUUUAUGGUGAGAGAAUCAAUGGAGGUUACUCAAUAUCAUCAAGGUAAUUUUAAUAAAGGUUCGAGUUCUAGGGUUUCCAUGAACAAGAAUUCACAAGUAAUAUCCAAGAUCAAGCCCAAGAUUCGCAUCAUCCAUAUAUUCGCACCGGAGGUCAUCAAGACCGACGUCAAGAACUUCCGUUCACUCGUACAAAGUCUAACCGGAAAACCAGCAGCCGUAGAGGUCAAAACCGGUAAAAGGAGUGCCAGACCGAGAAUUCCCACGUCUCAAGAACCGGUUUGCGGAGAUCAUCAGCCGGUUAACAGGCGUACUAGUUUCACCGGUUUAUUAGCAAACGGUGGAAACCAUGAGGUAAAAGAAGAAUGGGGAUCCGGUGAUCAGAAUACUAGGAACACAAACACUUACUUUGACCUAGAAGGUUUGAUCCAAGAUGUUGGAGAAGAUUACUUCUCUUCGUUUCCUAUGAGAUCUUCUCCUUCUUCUUCACAAGUUGAAGGGUUCACCUUCAGCAACAACAACACCAGCAACUGCUUCGAUACAAAGGGUCACAAUAUUUCAUAAGUAACCAAAGGUUUUAUCUUCUAGCUAGGGUUUCUCUGAUCCUUCAAUCACAUUGGUUGAUGAGAUCUAAUCGUUUGGGGAAUGAAAGCAAGCGAAAAUUGUCAUGUUUUUGGGAUUUUCAUUUUGAUGGGUAUGAUGAGAAACUGAAACUUUUGGUAGACUGACUUUGCCAAGGUUGAGGGUUGUAAUGGAGAGUUUAAUUUAUGUGCAGUCCUUCUCGGAGAAGUGACUGUAUCUAAUCGUCGUGGGUAAAAAACCCCAAGUUAUUUUGAUAUGUAACUUCAUUGAUGUGCUACUAUUGGAUGUGUAAUAAUUCUUGGUGUGUGUGCUUGAUUAUCUGUUGUAUUGUUGGACAAAAGUUUGUAUGGUUAGAACAGAGAAUGACUAGCUAGUGUUUCGUUGUUAUAGAUAAUCGAAUGUGUUACAUAUCAAUGGUUAACUUACUCAAACAUACUUUAAAAUGUGAGGAAUUUAACUUACAUUUACACAUACAUACAUUUCAGCACAAUAUUUCGUCUUCUUGGCUAAAAAUAGUUUGGGAAAAUUGCUAAAAGAGAACAAAAAAACAAGGUUGUUGUCCCCUUGGUAUAAAACCAACAUGAAGUUGUCUCAAUAGUAUAAUUUUUCUCAUAAUCCCAAAACUAUCCCUAUAUUUAAUCUAAUUAAACACAAUUUAAAAGUUAAUUUGAAUUUAAAAUAGAAGUUAAUGGAAAAAAUGAAAAAAAAAAUUGAAAGGCAAUCGAAAAAAAAAAAACGGUAUAGAUAUGCAUCAUAGAGAACAAGAGUUUGUGAGAAAAAUCAAAAGAAAAACUAUGGGAAAACCAUAGAUUGAUGAAGAAGAGAAGGGAUAAUCAUUUUUUUCUUUAAUUUUUUCAAGUAAAAUCGACCAUAACACGUUUUAGGAAGUUAGAAUAUUUUUAGGAGAUUUUUAUAAUAUUUCCUUAACUGAAAUUUCAUUAAUUUUCGCAAAAAAUCAGGUAUUCUUAUCCGUAGAAGGCGACUUCUAAAAGUUUAGAAGAAUGAUAAAAAUUUUGAAUACAUUUUCUACUUUGAGUAGACGUAAGAGUACAUUGUAGAAAACACAUUCCCUAAAAUUUAGAAUACUUUAUAAACGUAGAAGAUGCAUUCGGAAGGAAAGUGGAUACCUUUACGAUUAGUAGAAUGCACAUUCCUCUUUUUUAGAAAUUUAGUAAAUAGUAAAAUGGACGUUCUAAAAGAAGUAGAUGAACGUGUUUAUUUUAGAAAUUGUUUUCUACUAUACUAUUUUAUGUUGAAGACGCAUUCUACUUUUAGUAGAACGUAUCUUAAAAAUCUUAUUUACCAAGUUUUUGAACAAAACAAAAUUACCAGCUUGUGUAUAUGGAUGUUUUAUUAAUUGUUUAUAUUUUUAAUAAUUUUUUUGAUUCUCAAAAUUAUUUAUUUCAUUAGUUUUCAGAAAUACAAAGGGUAAAAAGGAGAAAAAAUGGACAAAACUAGUUUUAUACCAAAGGGACAACAACCUGGUUUUUUUAUUCUCUUUUGGCAAUUUUCCCAAAAAUUUGAAAUUCAACACCAACUGUUACAGUUUGUUUCAUCCUCUUUGUUAUACCAAAACAAUAGGUCAAUAUUCGGUACAUGGAAUUUUGGCAACAUAUUUAACCGGUUAUAGUUCAAAAAAACAUUUAACCGUUAAACCAAAAAAAACUUGUAAUAUAAAAAUAUAGAAAACACGUAUAUAUUCAUCAUCUUAACCAUAUGGAAAUUUGUCCCAAAAAAAGAUAAAUUCCUUAGAAUAACCUUUUUAAAGUUUUUGUCACAAAAAUAAUCAAUGAAAAAAUGACCAAAAUAAAUUUUAUUAAAAGAUAAAAAUAUAUUUUUACCCUAUAAUUAACUAAUCUAUACUUAGGGUUUAGAGUAAAAGGUGGUGUUUUGGAGAUAGAGUUUCAAAUUUAAAAAACAAAAAAUAAAUAUUAAAAUUUUCAAAAUAAAAUGAAGCUAUUUGGUCAUUUUAUUUCUUGAGUGCUAUUUUUGUGACAAAAUUUUAAAAAGGAUUAUUUGAGAUAAUUGUCAAAAACAAAAAAUGGAAAUUAUAAAUAGCUGGGACGUUUUAAACUUUUAAUAGACGGUAAACGUUCAAACAAUUGGGUUGUCUUCUUUAGAUCCUUACAUAUUUGUUACUGACGUUAGAUGAGAACUAGAAGAUCGUGACCACAACACAAUGUUAGUAUCCCAAGGGUGAAGGGCCAGAUAAAGAUGACUUUACACAGGUUCAAGAAUCCAUUUGUUCAAAAUGAGUCUGAUGAUCAUGUUUGGUUGAACAAGCUUGGAUAAAAGAAAGAGACAACUUCAAACCUGGCUUUUGUAGGUACAGAAACGUUCGUUCCUACUUAGCUGCUUCAAAUAAAUAUGAUAUAACCAAAAUAAUUUCCCAAAAGGUAAAACGCAAAAACGCCACCCAAAAGUCACAAGCUGACCUGUCUACCCGUUUGAUUCCGGUUAAAUGCAAGAUCCCUUGCCCCGGUUUAGUUUGGUUUGCCUUCUCAACGUUUCCUAAGGUCAAAAUAGGAAUUUUAAAUAUAAUCCAAAUGGCAUUUUCUCGCCGUUUAUAUGAAAAGAUCAUUUUGCGCAUCACAAGUGUGUCCUCAACAAUCUCCUUCUUCUCGAUUCGCCGUCACGCUCCUCCCGAAUCUCUGGUAUGUUCUUCGCUCAUUCCUAGCGAUUCUUACUCUUCCGUGAUUCUAGGAGAACAACUAGUCCUUGAUUUUUUCAUCUGGAAUCUCAGAAUUGGCUUCGAUGAUCGAAUCUCUGAAUUUUAGAUUAAGGCGAUAAACUUAUUCGGUUGUUUAUAUAUUCCUGAUUCGGUUAGUGUUGUUGAUUGCUUGAGCUCACACGGAUCGAGGUUGUUUUCGAAAUUAAAUAUUUGGAUACUGUUACAGGUUUUGAGUAUUGGAGAGAAUGGUGUUUUUCCGCAGCGUAACGGCCUUAGCUAGGCUGAGGUCUCGCGUUGUGAGUUUCUUUACAUCACACUGAGAUUUUGAGGUUUGUUUUUCGUUUGGUUUGAUCAUGCUAACCAACUGGUGAUUGGAUCUAUAUGUGAUUAGGGGCAACAAUCUUCGCUCAGCAAUUCCGUUAGAUGGAUUCAGAUGCAGAGCUCUACCGAUAUGGUAGUUAUUUUGAUUGCAAUGUGAUCUUCUAGUGUAUACAUUUUUUUUUGUCUCAAACUUACAUAAAAAAAAACCAGGACUUGUAGUCUGGUGGUAAUUAACUUGAACCCAAUACGGUGAAGCCACCAGGUUCGAGUCCCGGCCACCACUGGGAAAUUAACAUUUUGGCAUCGCGACCGACACGUGGUAACACUGAUUAGUCUGGACCGCUUCUGUGGAGCCAGAAUACGCCUGUAUAAUUAAAAAAAAACAACUAAGAUCGAAAAUGCUUAGUAAUAAUGAUUAUGUGUUCUUGUUUUUACUGAGAUUAUUUUUUCGGCAUGCUGCUUGUGGAGUCUUUGCUCAUUUUUGUUUUAAAUGAUGUCAAUGCAGGACCUCAAGUCCCAGCUGCAAGAGUUGAUUCCGGAACAACAGGUUUAGCUUUUUACCCCGUUUACAUGAAAUGGAUUUUUGUUAUGCUGACACAUUUUUUACACUUAAUUUUGUAUAAUAUGGAUUUAUGCUACCUCUUUUGAUUUUCUAGCUUCCUCUUUCCUCAUAGAAAUUUUUUCCAAUUUCAGGACCGUUUGAAGAAACUGAAGUCAGAACAUGGGAAGGUCCAACUGGGAAACAUCACUGUUGAUAUGGUAAAAUAACAUGAUGAAUUACGUGGUUGUUUGUUUUUUUUUUCCAUAGAAGUUACCCCUUGAAUGAGUCAUUUCAAUUUCCUUCUAAAUGAAGGUAAUUGGUGGGAUGAGAGGGAUGACUGGAUUGCUCUGGGAAACCUCAUUGCUUGACCCGGAAGAGGUACUGAUAACGUUUUGUAUAUCUUUACAAUUGUUUGGUUAGAUCCUAGUAUAGAAUACAUCAAGUUCUCUUCCUUCCCUUUCAAAGGCUCUUGUUACAAUUAUUUUAUCAUUAUUUUAGGGAAUACGCUUUAGGGGCUUGUCAAUUCCUGAGUGCCAGAAAGUAUUGCCUGCUGCUCAGUCUGGAGGAGAGCCGUUACCCGAGGGUCUUUUGUGGCUUCUUUUAACUGGAAAGGUGCGCCUUUUUGUACAUUUUUAUAAGUUGGUUAGGGACAUGUACACACGAUUAGUUUGCCUCAAUAUAAUAUCCUUCUUUACCCAUUUUUCGCAUAGGUACCUAGUAAAGAGCAAGUUAAAGCACUAUCACAAGACUUGGCAAACCGUGCUGCUGUGCCAGGUUUGCAAAAAAAAAGACAAGUCUGUUUAUUUUUUGUGUGGUUUUCGUGUUACACUUCUACUCAUUUCCUGAUCUCUGUUCAAUUUUUAUGCAGAUUAUGUGUACAAUGCCAUCGAUGCCCUGCCUUCUACGGCUCAUCCAAUGACUCAAUUUGCUAGCGGUGUUAUGGCUCUCCAGGUGUGGAUCUCCAAACUCCAAUUGUUGUUUGCUUGUUCUUGUUGUAAUGUGUUAGAGCUUACUGUUUUUUCUUUUUUUUUUUUGCUAAUGAUAACUUUCCUUACCUGAUAUCCAGGUGCAAAGUGAGUUCCAAAAGGCAUAUGAGAAUGGAGUUCACAAGUCAAAGUACGUUUUAGAGUUUCUGGUGUAGUUCUUGACAUCAUUUAAAUUCAACAUGCAUCAUCACAAAGAUCUUUCCGUCCAGGUUCUGGGAGCCAACAUACGAGGAUUGCCUCAACCUGAUUGCUCGUGUUCCUGUAGUAGCUGCAUAUGUUUAUCGGAGGUUAGCGAAGACUUGUCCUUUUUGUUCUCUCUUUUCAUGUAUCUUUCAGCGUCUGGAUUUUGGGACUGAUUGUGUACCCUUUAUAGAAAAGAAUUGUCAUCAGCUGUUUUUGCUUCGUAUUUACCUCUGUUCUAAAUCAUUGCAGGAUGUAUAAGAAUGGCGAUUCCGUUCCCUCAGAUAAAUCUUUGGAUUAUGGUGCAAAUUUUUCCCACAUGUUGGGAUUUGAUGAUGAUAAAAUGAAAGAGCUCAUGAGGCUUUACAUCACUAUCCACAGGUCUGUUCUAAUUUCUUCGUCCAAUUAUGUCUUUUAACUUGAUUUUCUUAUCAUUUUUGAUGUUAUUUUUCAAAGACUUACAAUUAUUAGCAUGAUAAUUUCUAUUUUCUUCUUGUUUCUGGUUUUAGUGAUCAUGAAGGUGGAAACGUUAGUGCUCACACUGGUCACCUGGUGCGUAUGCUCAUAGUUUAUCAAUGUCGAAUGUUCCACAUGCAGUUCUAGAAUUGAGAUCUUUUGCUUAGGAUUGACAUUUCUGAUGGUUCGUUUCUGUAUUUAGGUCGGUAGUGCACUUUCAGAUCCGUAUCUCUCAUUUGCAGCUGCAUUAAACGGUUUGGCUGGACCACUCCAUGGUUUGGCUAAUCAGGUAUCUCUUUGUCUAUAUCCUCAACAAAUAUUGUACUGUUCAAUCUAUGGUAGAGAUUCAUGAGUUGCCUCUUGUAUAUUAUAUAGGAAGUUUGUGAUAGUUUUAUGGUACGAUUAUAAGGUAGAAGAACAGAAUCUUGAUGUUUUUCUUUUGUCUUGUUGCAACAGGAAGUUUUGCUUUGGAUCAAAUCAGUUGUUGAGGAAUGUGGAGAAAACAUAUCGAAAGACCAGUUGAAAGAAUAUGUCUGGAAAACAUUAAACAGUGGCAAGGUAAAAACAUAACAUUCAUCUACUUUGUCACUGCCAGGCUAAUACUGAAUUGCUGAUUAAAUCUACUCCAAAAGGACAUGAGAAAUUGAGUGAAUGUCUUGUCUUAGUAGUUGUAUGUCAUUCUUAUAGCUGAUGCCAAUUAUAGUGUCAGAAAAGUGUGGGAUCCAGUUUUAACUAAUUUGAGUUUUUCUUAUCUGAGUUAAAUAAUGUAUAUGUUUAUGUUACAAGGAUUUCUUACUGUUUACCAAAUAAUUAGUUGACAAAGCUUGAUUGGUUUACAGGUUGUUCCCGGAUAUGGACAUGGUGUUCUUCGCAAAACCGAUCCAAGAUAUGUAUGCCAAAGAGAAUUUGCCUUGAAGCAUUUACCUGAUGACCCUCUUUUCCAGCUGGUACUUUUAUUUUCUUCUUUUUUUCUUUUGCGCUCUUACAUAAUUAUAUAACUCUGCAGUGGCUAACAAGACCUUCGUUUCUAUAGGUCUCAAAGCUAUAUGAAGUUGUGCCUCCUGUUCUCACCGAACUCGGAAAGGUAAUAUGUCUAAUAUUUUCUCGUUACCAAGGGGAUCAUCAAUUCAUGUAAUGGAUAUUUCACAUAAAGUAUGAAACAUAAAUCACCAAUAAUUCAAUCAUUGAAUUAUUGGUGAUUUAUGUUUCAAUGGAUACGUCUCAUACUGAAUCAUGUGAUGGCUUUUGCUUGUUACAGGUGAAGAACCCAUGGCCAAAUGUUGAUGCUCACAGUGGAGUGUUACUCAACCACUAUGGUCUAACCGAAGCAAGGUAAGAAUUAGACUUCCCGCGUAACUUAUCGUUGAGCCUGUUACGUUGAAUAAAACAUUGUGCGUUUUUAUAGGUACUACACCGUGCUCUUCGGUGUCUCAAGGAGUCUUGGAAUAUGCUCUCAGGUAAUAUACAUAUAUAUACAGAUUACACAUUUGUUACUCCAAACCAAUGUAAAAUAGAACUCUGAUAAUUAGCUAAUUAUGUUAUUUGUGGUUUGGCUACAGCUAAUAUGGGACAGAGCUCUUGGUCUGGCACUAGAGAGGCCAAAGAGUGUUACAAUGGACUGGCUUGACGCCUUCUGUAAGAAAGCAAAAGCUUCAUCUGCUUGAAACCACCACUCACUCUCUUGGUGCUCCAUUGUCUUCCACACUGAAUAGCCUUUCUAUUGACAGAAGAAAGAUACAUUGUUUGUUCAUGUAGAAAUUGUUCAUCCCGAGAUUUUAUUUUCUUACCCCUGAGAAAAACACUUGCAGUGUGCAAAUUUGCAUUCCGGAAAACUCACGAUAAUAAAUAAACAUUUGUUGUAUUCAAUCUGCAUAAUCCACAAUCAUCAAAUGUCAAUAAUGCAUUACAACUUUUUUUAUUCGAUGUAUGUAUUCAAUCUGAAUAAACCUCUAUCAUCAAAUAUCUGAGAGAUGACACAUUGAACUGAAAAAAGUAAAGGCCAAAAAAGACAGAACAACACUGAGUUUUAACAAUAACAAACAUGCUCUGCAAGAAAGAUUACGAGCUGCUCUUCUUGUCCUUAUCGGUAGUAAUAUCCUCAACAUCAUCGAUGGAAGCAGUGAAGUUGAGUCUCUCUUCGGAGUUGGCAGUGAUCACAGGCAACCAAACAUCAGCAGUACCGCUAAGAAGAGACUGAACUUGCGGAUCAGAAGCAAGAGCCGACGAGAUCAUCUCAUCAACAUCGUCAAUCUUGGCUGAUAACUUAUCCAACUCAUUAGCAAUCUCCACCUCAGUGAGAGGCUGAGACGACUUUGAUGGCACUUUGGUGACUUCUAAGCCCAGAGCUUCGAUCUUUGAACGCAAUUCCACUUCCUCUGUGUUCGUCAACGAUUCAACCUGUUAAUACGACGAAGAAAACCAAAUCUAAACCAACACAAUCGAAAAUCAAAAGAUAUUCAAUCUAAGACGAUUUCGAUUUUGAGAUCGUGGUCCCUCCCUAGAGUUUGAUCAGAUUAUAAUGAAUUUGGGAUCGGAACCUGUUGGAGAAGACCUGAAAGAAGCUGGAAGAGCUGCUCGUCUGGUUUUCCAUCUGCCAUAGAUAGAUAGAUCAAAGCUCUCUCUCUCUCUCUCUCUCUCUCUCUCUCUCUCUCUCUCUCUCUCUCCCGUUUUUAUCUUUAUAAUCGAAUUACCGAGAGACUCUGAUUCAUUCGGAAGCUUUACACAAACGUUAAAACAGACGGACGGAUCACGGAACGGGGCAGGCGUGAACCCGCGCGAUUACGGAGUGAUUUACACUAUAAGACAGUUUAUGAGUUUUUAUUACACUUUAAGACAGUUAUUGCUACUAAGAUAGUUUUUCCUAACUACAAGCUAACUAAACUUAUUCUUAUAACAAAAUGGGUCCCACAGAUUUGGUCUUAUUUUCUUUUUCUCUUUAAUGGCAACGAAACUUGAAGAAAGAUACGAAAACAAUGGUUUUAAUGGCAAAAGUGGACGAAGAAACUGAGGAUAAAAACGUUUUGUUGCAUUUCUUUUUAUUUAAUCCAUCAUCUUCUUCGGCAACAAAGUGUAACGUUUGAACUUCUCCGACCACCGUCUACGUCUUCCUCACUAGCCGCUAAAUUAGGGCCAGAUCUGUACUACGAACACCAAACGGCCACAUCCUCUGUCAUUGCUCCAGCUCUCAUGUGUGAAGUGGCUGUAAAUCAAAAACGACCACAUCCUCUGUUAUUGCUCGAGUAACGGCAAGCUCCUACAGCGAAUCACCACUAUGCUGCCUCAUUUAGUCAUCGAAGAAUCACCUCCACCAUGCUCAGAUCUCCGGUCGUGUCUGUCUGGAAUCCUUGUGGGUCUUCCUCUCCGUCACAGAAUGAAAGCUUCAGAACAACAAUGGUCAAGUUUAUAGUUUUUGCACGUUUGGUCCUUCAAGAUUUUUUUUUUCAUUUUUGACUUUAGACUUUCAAAUUUGCAGAAAUGACAUUUGAUUUUAUCCCAAAUUUAUUAAUGUGCAUUUUAACCUUUGUUAUAUGCAAAUAAGCACACCAAUGUUUUUCCAUGGGGUAUUAUUCAUUUAUUGUGUACGCAGUUGUAACGAUAUAUGUAUGUAAUCAUAUGUAUAUGUCAUUAUGUACACAACAUUUCACUAUCCACAUGGUGAUCGUUCAUAUGUACACCAUGUAACUUGUGCAAUGAUUCACAUGUACACACUGUACAAAAUGUUUAUUUUAGCUAAAUUGCAAAAUAUUCUCUCCAUUUCCGAAAGAAGUAUUUUCUAAAAUAUUUACGCAUAUUAACGCAAAAGACAAGUAAUCACUAAUCACUUGUAAAAAUAGCACAAACAUAUUACUAAGGUUUUACAAAAUGCACAAAAAAAUGAAACUAUAACUUUUGAAGCCAUUUGAUGUGUACACUAUACCACGUACACAUUUUCUAUUAUCCACAUGUACAUUGAUUCACAUGUAUGCAAUGUUUUUUAUUAUCCAUGUGUACAUUGAUUCACAUGUACGCAAAUUAACUUAUACAACAAUACAUUGAUUCAUAGACCUCUCAUGUAAUGAUGCAGCAUGUAUAUUUUCAGGCAAAAGACAAGUAAUCACCUGUAAAAAUAUCACAAACAUAUUACUAAGGUUUUACAAAAUGCACAAAAGAAAUGAAACUAUAACUUUUGAAGCCAUUUGAUGUGUACACUAAACCACGUACACAAUUUUUUUAUUAUCCACAUGUACAUUGAUUCACAUUCACAUAUAAAUUAUGGGACCAAAUCCAAAGGAUUUAUUUUCCAAUCAGGAACAUCUGAGGCAUAAACAAAAUGAAACAAAACGGCAUGUACCAAUGUUGCAUUUCCGAAAGAAGUAUUUUCUAAAAUAUUUACGCAUAUUAACGCAAAAGACAAGUAAUCACUAAUCACUUGUAAAAAUAGCACAAACAUAUUACUAAGGUUUUACAAAAUGCACAAAAAAAUGAAACUAUAACUUUUGAAGCCAUUUGAUGUGUACACUAUACCACGUACACAUUUUCUAUUAUCCACAUGUACAUUGAUUCACAUGUAUGCAAUGUUUUUUAUUAUCCAUGUGUACAUUGAUUCACAUGUACGCAAAUUAACUUAUACAACAAUACAUUGAUUCAUAGACCUCUCAUGUAAUGAUGCAGCAUGUAUAUUUUCAGGCAAAAGACAAGUAAUCACCUGUAAAAAUAUCACAAACAUAUUACUAAGGUUUUACAAAAUGCACAAAAGAAAUGAAACUAUAACUUUUGAAGCCAUUUGAUGUGUACACUAAACCACGUACACAAUUUUUUUAUUAUCCACAUGUACAUUGAUUCACAUUCACAUAUAAAUUAUGGGACCAAAUCCAAAGGAUUUAUUUUCCAAUCAGGAACAUCUGAGGCAUAAACAAAAUGAAACAAAACGGCAUGUACCAAUGUUGCAAAAUCAGAAUAUUUGCUUGGUCUGGAUUGCACAAUUAAAAGUUUCAGGAAAUAUUCGUGAACAUAAUAGAAUUUUGAGCCAAAUUUGAGAAUAAACAAGAUUUGGAGGAUCACAUGUGAAAAUAAUCAAAAUUUGACCAUUGUUGCUUCAAUGAAGCUUUCUCUUCGAUCUGCGACUAAAGUGACAAUGAUUCCAACGUCCACAACUCUGGUCCCGAGCAUGACGACCACGGCGAGGAGGAGACGAUUUGAACUUGACGUGGAUAGCGGUAGAGCUAAGUCGGAAUGAAGCUUAGGGUUUGAGGUCGCCGACAAUGGAGUUUCCGUUAGAGAAGAAACGACAAUUGUUCGUUGGAGAAGAAACCAAAAGGUUUUUUACCACUCCAAAAAUGAUCUUGAUUCUCUUUUUGUUCUAUUUUCAUGAACGAUUGUUCAUCAUAAAAGAAAUUCUUGUUUGAAAUCAUGAGAGGAAUUGUCUAUAUUUUGUUACUAAAGAUCAGUUCUUUUCAUUGUAAUAACUCGUUCUGCAAAUUCAAUGUCUUUUUGAUCUGUAAAAAAAAAAUUUGAGCAAAGAGAAAACAAGGAAAAGAAGAAGAAGUGGGACCUAGUAGUUACAGCUUAUUUUGGUUUCAACUAGCAAACGUAACGAAAAAGGAAGAAAGUUAGAAAAAAGUGUUCUGGUAGUUGAAAGUGACUUAUUGUGUUAUAAAAAACUUAAAACUGUCUCUCAGUGUAAUUCUUUCAUUACGUUAGAUCGCUGACGUGGGUUUUGACUCGGUGGUUUUUUUCUUCUCGUAUUUAUGAUGUCAUUUAAUAAACUGUAUAAAAGACAAAUUAGAGGAUUUUUUAUUUGUUUGAAAAUGAGACAAAACCUUUUUUCUUAUAAUUGGUUUUAGAUUAUACAGAGGGAAUGUAGUUAGUUUGUGAAGGUCAAUGCCAUCUAAUCAACCCCUUGGAAUAUCCUAUUUACUUGCAUAUUAUAAUAUUAAGUUUUGACUAAUUACUUUUCUUCAAACAUUUUCAUUUUAUAAAAAAAUUUAGAUGGUGACCUAUAAUGAUUAGAAUAAAUAAAACCAAACGGCUUUAGUUAAAGAUCUUUUUAUUUCAGAUUAUUAAUAAUUAUUCAAAAGAAAAUAACAUGAAAUUAGCAAAUAAAACAAAUCAAUGAAAAACAAGAACCAAAACACAAGAAAAACAACAAUCAUAUAGUUUCAGAGCUCCAAGAAUCCAAGAAAGCUCGAGAGAAACAUAUUUGUUUUCAAACUUUUAUCAUAUUCUUAGAUCAACUUGAGACAUGCUUUUCUAGCUUUCUUAGCAAUUUUAGCUCUCUGCAUCUCCAUAUGUAACUCAAUCUGCAUCCUCUCCAUCUCCCUUUGAGCUUCAAGCAUUGCAGCUAACUCCGAAGCCGCCGAGCCUCUUCCUCCUCCUUUAUUACCACUUGUACUCGCCUUUCCUCCUCCUCUCUUUGGCUCCACCACUUCUUCUACUUCACAAGAAUGUAAAUGCGUGCCGUAGUCACAUUCCUUGCAGUAAUAAGACCAUAGAUGAUCCGGAACCGUCUCUUGACAUACAUCACACUUGACGAUCAAACCGUUCGUGUAAGGAGAACAGUAAAGCAACGUGAGCGGAUGCUCAUGUCCUUCACGCUCCACGGACUCAGGCAUUGAUAUGCACCCGACAUGUAAAUCAAACUGGCAGAUAGAGCAGUUGUAAACGAACCCUGAUCCAUACUCACUGCACGCGCUGCACUCGUAAGUUGAGGACUCGUACGGUGGCGAAUAAAGCAGGGUCAGAGGGUGAUCAGGGUGAGACUUGUGGCGUGUCUCACGUGGAAGAUCGAAACAUGACUUGUGCAAGAAGUAAUCACAUUCUGACUUUGUGCAUUUGAAAGCUGCACCUAUUAGGUGUAGGUCGCAGCCGGAGCAGAUGGUCUCUUCUUCAGCUAGGGCUUUGUGACCGCGCAAUGGAUGGUUGUGGCUAGGGUGCCUCACCGAUGGUUUUCUUGAAGCCAUUGUAGGUAAAAUGAUUUUAUUUUGUUUGUUUUUGUGAUUCUUAUUAAGCUAAGGGGUUUCAAAGCAUUUAUAGUGAAGAUAGUAAGAUGACUUGUGAUUGUGAGUCUUCUUCAGGAUGGGAGUAGUGAUGCGUUUUGGUUUGACUAUUAACCAAGUUGUAGCAUAUAUAUUAACUAUAUUGGGAAAAAAUGUCACUACGCGCUAAUAUGAUUUAUAUACGAUUUCUAUAUAUGUAUAUAAGAUUAGUUCUCACUGGGAAUUCAAAGUCAAGAGGUGGAACUAUUCUCUUUGAACCCAUCCAUCACGGGAUUAUUAGUUUUAUUGUUCUUUUAUAAUUUGAUUAAAUAGCCAUUUGUAGUUAAAGAUUCUGAAAUAUUGAUUUAUCAAGCGGCAGAUGUAGACAAUAUGUGAGUUGACAUAGUUAAUUAGAUAUGUGAGGUCAAUUAACUACGCUGAGGUUAAUUAGCGACUCAUUGAUUGUGUAUACUGUAUAGUUCCAACAGUUGAUUUUUUUUUGAGAAAGCAGUUGAAUUUUUUUACUUACUUUCGUGCUUAACAAAUUUGAUAAGUUUAGGGAAGAAAUGUUUUCAAAGGUGUUCAGAUUCAUAUGAUGUUGGUGGGUGUUAGUCUUUGUACUUGCAAGUAGAUAGAAUUUACCAACUGACCAAACAAAAAUCCAAAAACAAAAAUAUAACAUCAUAUAAUAUUUAAUAGAGCAAGUAAUCAUUUGAAGAUUGUGCAAACGUUUCUAGUAUCCAUAUUCUGGAUUGUUUACAUUGUAUAAACAUAAAAUUACGAACUAUAAUGAUCAAAGAUAUUUGAUUGGCAAAUAUAUAAUCAUACAGCUCACAGUUUUUUUAAAUCUUAAUAACAAAAAAAAAAAAAGAUAAAAUCUUACAAACAAGCCACAUUGAAAGAAAGUCACAAACAUACAAAGAAAGAACGAAAUCAGAGUUUGAUACACUUUUUCUUCCUAACCAAAAUUCACAAAAGAGAGCAAUUAAACACUCAAUAAUCAAUUCACCAAUAAUAUUUCCUCCUUGGUUCCCAUGAACCGACGUAACUACCUGCUGCAUCAAUAGCAUCUAACUGGACCUGCAUCAUCGCCAUCUCCAUUUUAGCAUCCAUUUCCGACUUCACCUCUGAUGCCGCCGAGCUUGUUUCUCCUUUUUCUUCUCCUUUCUUUGGAGCAGUAUCUUCAUAUGUGGCGCAUGAACGUACAUGUGUCCCAUAGUCACAUUCUUUGCAAUAAUACACCCAUAGAUGCUCUUGCAUAUCUUCUUCACAAACAUCACAUAUGAACGUCACACCAUCCUCGCGACCUUUGCAUGGCGUGUUGUAAAGUAGCGUGAGAGGGUGUUCGUGGUCUUCACGCUGCACGGUCACAGGGACAAACGCACAUCCAACAUGAACAUCGUACUGGCACUUAGAGCAAUGGUAUGUGAAACCAGAUCCAUGCUCACCGCACGCAUCGCACGAGAAGAUGGACUGAUCGUACGGUGGAGAAUGGACCAGAGUCAAAGGGUGAUUAGGGUGAGACUUGUGAAGGGUUUCACCUGGAAGGUCGAAACAUGACUUGUGCAAGAAGUAAUUGCACUCUGACUUUGUACACUUGUAAGCUUGCCCAAUUAGUUCGAGCUCGCAUCCAGAGCAAAUGAUCUCAUCUCCUUCUUGGGAUUUGAAGACCCGUAAAGGAUGAUCGUGACUAGGGUGUCUCACCGUUGGACGGUUAGUCGGAUUAGCCCUAGUUUUUCCUGAACCCAUAUGUUCUUGAUAUGUGUCUAAGGUUUUGGUUGUUUUGUGGCUUGUGGGAGAAUCUCUUUGGAAGUAUUAUAAAUACCAAAUAUUGAAGUGGACUUUGAUUUCUAUAAUUAUGAGAUUGGUAUUCUUAUUAACCAUGUCUUAGUUUAUCAUUAUUAUACCAUCUGUAUAUGUUACAUAAGAGUAAUUCUCAUUUGGGUGUCAAAAGUCAAGAGGUGGAACUAUUCAUUUAGAACGCAUCCAUUACAGGACUAGUCAUCUUGUGCUUAUAUAAUUGAUAGCCAAUUGUAAUUACAGAUUCUAGAUAUUGAAUUAUCAAGUUGGAAAUGUAUACAAUAUAAGAGUUGACAUAGAUAAAGAUGUGAUGUUAACUAACUAGGCUUGGUCUCUAAUGUCUAUCAUCUUCCAAGUCAUCUGAAUAUAAGUGACUAUGACUUCGGAAAAAAGAAAUUAGAAAUUGCGAUAAAAAAACAUCAACAUGAGUCACUAUAUAGUAAUUUCUAGUGAAAAUCAUAAGCUUUAAACCCUAAAUCUUAUUUGAGACUUGAGAUGCAUGUAACCUGCAAGACCAACGCAUGUUACUCGAAUAUGUCUAUUUAACGAUUUAUCAAUACAACUAAUGCUAUUGCUGAUGAAUUGAAACAUUCGUUAUUAUUAUUAGUGAAUACAUAACAAAGAUAGCAUAUACUACUUGCCUUUUAAAAGCAAACAUUUUAAAAUUUCAAAUAACCCAAAGUGGAUCAGAAUUUUAUCAUGCAUUUAUUUAUUACUUUUUCUUUUUAUUUUGCAUAACAAAGUUUCAUUGAAAAUAAUUGUUGCAGUAAGUCACACGAACAAACGAAAUUCCCAAAAAAAAAAAAAAACAAUUACAAUCUUCAUCAAUGCAUCAAAUAGAUCAUUCAUAGUUUCGAUCACCAAUAAUAUCUCCGCUUUGGUUCAUCCCAUAACUCAAGUAUAGCAUCAUUAGUGUUCUUCCUAAUACGUGCCUCGAGCUGCAACGCCGCCAUCUCAUCUUGAGCUUUCAUCAACGACUUCAUCCUUGCAGCGGCAGAGCUCGAUUCUCCUCCUCCUCCUCCUCCUCCUCUUCCUUCUUCUCCUCCUCCUCCUCCUUUCUUUGGCUGAUGAUCUUCAUAAACCGCGCAAGAAUGCACAUGUGUCCCAUAAUCACAUUCUUUGCAGUAAUAAACCCAAAGAUUCUCCGACAUAUCUUCUUCACAAACAUCACAUAUGAACAUUGCACCGUCCUCGCGACCUUUGCAUGGUGUGUUGUAGACUAAAGUGAGGGGGUGGUCGUGAUCUUCGCGCUUCACAGUUUCGGGGAUAAAGGCACAUCCAACAUGUACAUCGUACUGGCACUCUGAACAGUUGUAAGUGAAUCCGGAUCCAUAUUGGCCGCAUGCGUCGCACGUGUAAGAGUGACCAUACGGUGGGGAAUGAAGCAGGGUCAAAGGGUGGUCUGAGUGAGACUUGUGUUUGGUUUCACGAGGUAGGUCGAAACAUGACUUGUGCAAGAAGUAAUCGCAGUCUUUCUUUGUACAUUUGAAGGCUUGUCCGAUUAGGUCAAGCUCGCAUCCAGAGCAGAUGAUCUCAUCUUCUUCUUGGGAUUUGAAGAGGCGUAGCGGAUGGUUGUGACUCGGGUGCCUCACCGAGGGUCGGUUAACCGGUUUCUUUGAAGUCAUUGUGCCUGGAUUUGGUAUUUUUACGUGGAAGAAACGUUUAACAACUAUAAAUAGCAAUGUAUGUAGAGGGCUUGCGAUUUCUAUUUUGGGCUAAAUAAUUCUGAGUUUUUUAUUAUUCGUAUUCACCUAGUUGUGAUUUUAAUAUACAAGAAGAAAGUUGACAUUAGAAUUGCAUAAUUUAGACCGCUUAACAAUUAACUAAAUACUCCCACUAUCAUAUAAAAAUUAUUACGUAGCCCUUUUCAAUGUAAAUAUAAUAAUUGUUUUAUUUGAUAUAAUAAUUAGUUCUUAUAUUUUUGUGUGAUAACUAAUACAAAUUAACAUGAAUAUAAUGAUAUUACUACUAACAUCAUUUAAUUAUGAUUUGAAAUCUCCAACUUGGGUGAUUGUUAAGAAGUUGUGACAAAGCACUAGAGUUUCUCAAUAGUUGAAGUUUCACUAUAAUCCAAGUGGGUAACGACUUGAUCAAACAAUCUAACCGUUGACUUUAAAGUCGUCGACUGAAAGCUUAGAAUCAACAUCACACGGUAGAAAAAUUGCGUAUCACAAAACAAAAUGUUCCAACAAGUCCCCAAGCCAUUGAUUUGUGUUCAUACCAAACUAUAAUAACAUUUUAAUACCCUCUCUGAACAAGUUGUGCAGCAAAAACAAUGGGAAGGCCAAAACCAGAAGACUCAAUUCGACAUUUCAGCCAUCCACAUCCAUUGUUCAACUCAUCUCUCAAUCCUCAAGCCAACUCUUCUUCUUCUUCUUGCGUGGUUUGCAAGUUAAAGCUUCUCAAUCUUCCUUCAUACACAUGUAAGCCAUGCAACUUCCACAUCCACCUAAAAUGUUCCGAAUUACCUCAAAAGAUCAGACACCCUUUCGACAAAAACCAUCUCCUGUCUCUCAUCUCCUCUCCAAAAUACCAAGAAGGGACAUUCCGCUGUGACGCAUGCGGCAAAAACGGUGACGGAUUCGCUUACCACUGUGGAGACUGCGGUAUAGAUCUUCACACGGUUUGUGCCAACAUGCCUUCUCGUGUCACGCACCAAUCUCACCCUCACCACCAACUUUAUUUAAC
rnacentral:lncRNA from 1 species